AUUUAUGCUUUGCUGAAUUUCCAAAAGGAAAACGGGGGAACCAACUUUUGGGGUGAAUCGCCAGACAGCGUAGAGCAGUUUUCAGCUCGAACCCGACAGCUAACCUCGUAAGCGUUGAAACACACGUUGG
rnacentral:sRNA from 2 species